GGCGGCGUAGCUCAGUUGGCCAGAGCAUUCGGUUCAUACCCGAAGUGUCAGCAGUUCAAAUCUGUUCGCCGCUACCA
rnacentral:tRNA from 1 species